rnacentral:misc_RNA from 1 species
AUUGCACUCCGUAUAGUAAUUAGAUGUUACAUAUAGUUAUCACACUGUGCGUUAGGUACGCCUUAUCUGCCAAAAUAUUCUAUGCGCUUAUUUAUUAUAUUAGCGCAUAUCUACCGAUUAGGAAAAAAAGAAAAAAAAGAAGAAAGAAAGAAAGAAAAAAAAGCGGAUUGAGUCACUGUUAUGAAACACUUCUAAUACAUACAUUCGCGGAUUAUCGUGUACAAAGUGUGUUAAUGCUGUGUAUAUUAUUAUAAUAGUGUGCACCUAGAACGUAUUCGUUACAAUGUUAUUUCAAUGGCAACUUGAAAUGGCGAAUUAACUAAGAAACUCGAUUGAACUUAUAUACUAAUCGCACACGCGGCGGUGGCGCCGCAUCGCCAGCACCGCCACCACCACUGUCACCACCCGAUAUCGCGGUCGCCGUCGGAACACGAUAAGAGUGCGGGACGGGACAGGACGUGAUUGACCUUGAGCAGGGAAAACGAAAAAGCGGAGUAGAAAAAAUAACCAGCACAGCCGCCGCGCCGCCGAUCUAAUUAUUAUUAUUGCGCCGCGACGGCAGCGGUGGCCGAGAGGUGUCUGUCGCGGCCCCGUACCCCGCCGACGGGGGGCGGGAACGCAGUGCACGCAGGCCAAUGAGCGUGCGCCGUCCCACCCACUGACCGGCGGCACCCGGCGCGGCGCCGCGUCGGUGAUCGGGAGCGCGCGCCGAACCUGAGGCCACCGUCGGCAUUGCAGAAACUGCACCGAUCGCACCCUGACGCCGGGCGUCUCACACCGAACACGUCGCGCGUGUCGUACGCCUCAUGCGGUACACCUAUCAUACGUUUUAUAAUUUUUAUUUUAUACGAUAGCAUUCGAAAAUUGCAUAUUAUAAUAUCAUCGUUACCGUUCUUUAUAUUAUUUAAUUCGUCCGUCAUCUGCGAUGUGAAUUAUCACACCUUUUAUCAUCAUCGUCAUCGUAAUUACAUACGAGUUACAUCGCUGCUCGCGAUGCAGUAUCUUCCGUAAUUUUUUAAUACGACGCCGUAACAGCAAAGUGAUAUUAAGUCGACUGCAAUUAUUAUAUUUUAUUAUUUUUGAUAUUUUUUUACCCGCUUCCCUUCGCUCGCCAUUUGAGUUUUCGUAUAUUAUAUCGACAUGGAAGCUGACGAUCCACGGCUGGCCGACGAAUACGUCAACGAGUUCGUGCUCGACCACCUGGACGUAUCGACGGUAAAACGUGAGAUCCAGUCGUCCGACUAUCACCACCAUCACCACCAACAGCCACAUCAGGAACAUGGGAGCCAUCACCAUCACCAUCAGCACCACCAGCAGCAACAACAACAACACCCACCUUGUAAUGGUGGCCGGGGGACCGCCAGCGUUGGUGGCCGUCUGCCGCCUAUGCCCAUCACGAGCGUCAACAACGGGUCCCCGGCCACGGCGGCCGCACCCACCUCAACCGUCGGAGCUGCUACUGCAACGUUGGUGCAGUCAUCGCCACCGCCGCCGCAUUACCUGCUCACGCCACCGGGUUGCGAACAGGAAUACCCACACCACCAUCCACUCAUCAGACACCAGCACGCUAUUAACCAGGUAAUUGACGGUGUGGGUGGCGCGGGUGCUGGAAUGGUGAUACACAGCCACGCAGCGGCCACAGCAGCGGCGGCCGCCGGCGUGCUGAUACCUGGAGGCACGUCCGCGGUCAAAGUUUCGGGGGCCGAAGCCGCGCCCGUCGGUUCCAUGAUGUACCCGAGCACGCCGGGCACGCCACCCGACACGCCGCCGGUCAGCUCAUCACCACCGCCGUCCACGCCGAUCCCACAACCGGUAUUUAUGGAAGAAAUGAUGUGGUUAACGCAGUCGUUGCGCCAGGGACAGGAACCACUGGACUUACGACCAAACUAUGCAGGCUCCGACGAAAUGCAACAGCACCAGCACCAGCACCACCCGCACCACGCGCACCACCAUCACCAUCACCACCACCAUCAACAACAACAGCAACAAGAACAACAUGAAGAUGAAGAACAGCAACAACAACAGCAGCAGCAGCAGCAGCAGCAACAGCAACAGCAGCAGCAGUCGGUUUCGGCGGACAUGGAGUGGAAUAUGGUGCAACACCAACACUUGACCGUGAUACAGCCGAGUAACAGUAAUAACAGUUGCUCUGCAGUUGGUGGCAAGGUGCCGCCGUUUGGUCGCCCGUCCCUCCUGAUGCAAGGGUUAUUGAGCCCGGGCUCUUCCAACAGUGUCGUCUACAACAAUUACACGAAUAGCUGUUCCCUGUACCAGCCGCUGUUCUCGUCCCAACGACUGAUGCCCCAGCGCCUGAACCGGCCGCUGAGCGUGUCAAGCGAUAGCGUCAUGUCACCCGCGAGCUCCCGCAACGGCGGCGGCAGCAGCUUGUACACGCAUGGCUCAUCCGACGACUUGAUCAACGACGCGCUGCUGCUGCAGCUGCCGGUACGCGAUCUCAACAAGCGGCUGCAGGGCAUCUCCAAGGAGGAGAUCGCCCGGCUCAAGCAGAAGCGGCGGACGCUGAAAAACCGCGGGUACGCGCAGAGCUGCCGGACCAAGCGGAUGAACCAACGCAUCGAGCUGGAGAACGCCAACGAGAUACUGGCGACCGAGCUGCAUAAGACGAAAUCGGAGCUGGCACGCAUCACGCAGGAACGCGACAUGUACAAGCAGCGGUUUUCCGCGCUGGCCGUAGCCAGGGAAUCGAUGAGCGCCGCGGCCGCAGCAGCAGCCGUCGCUGCCACUUCAUCGGCGUCGUCCACCUCGUCGGUGGCCGCGGCCUCUGCCCAGCGCGUCGACAGUAGUUCCAAUUCGCCAGAGCUCUACCUGUGACAGACGAGGAGGUCGUACGCGUCUGCGCUUUGGAUAUCCAAGUGUCUACCAACGUCCGCCAACAAUAAUUACGGUUCACGAGCAUCGCGAACUUGAAAUCAUAUACAGAUUAACUUCGAUAACAAAAGGAUAAGACUAAUAAAGUAAUGGAUUAUUUAUGUAAGCGAACAUAUGAUAAGAAUAUAAGAUAUCAACAUUCAACAGUUUUAAUUUAUUUUUUU